GUCACCACAGCCAUGAGUGGACCAUGCUUUCACCAGGCACGUUCACAGGGGAAGGACCUGCGUUCCACCGCUUAUCUGAAAUAAUUCUAAUUCUCCGGUUGGAACGUUAUUCAAGAUAUAUGUAAACAACAUUCUAAAGAUUGAUUCAGUACAUCGUUUGACAUGUUUCUACUGACUGUUACGGAACUUUGGACAUUUCAUCACGUUAUAGUGGACGAGCUUUGUGACUUUGGAAUUGUUUACCAAACGCACUAACCAAAGUAGCUAAUUGGACAUAAAUAACGGACAUUUUCGAACAAAUCAAGCAUUUAUUGUGGACCUGGGAUUUCUAGGACUGCAUUCUGAUGAAGUUCAUCAAAGCCCUAUCUGUUACACGGAGUGGAACAGGGGAACCCAAGAGAAGACUCAGAUGAGGAAACUGGGAUGAAGCAAACAAGGAAAUGGCUUCCUGAAAUCCCUCAAGCAGCUGAUUGGUCGACUCCAGGGCUAAUUGGAGAGCUGACCCCGCCCCCUCGUCA
ensembl:lncRNA